GUGCCAGCAGCCGCGGUAAAACGUAGGACGCGAGCGUUAUCCGGAUUUACUGGGCGUAAAGCGCAUGCAGGCGGCCUUGUAAGUCGGAUGUGAAAUCUCCCGGCUCAACUGGGAGGCGUCAUUCGAUACUGCAAGGCUUGAGGGCAGGAGAGGGGAGUGGAAUUCCCGGUGUAGUGGUGAAAUGCGUAGAUAUCGGGAGGAACACCAGUGGCGAAGGCGGCUCCCUGGCCUGUACCUGACGCUAAGAUGCGAAAGCGUGGGGAGCGAACGGGAUUAGAAACCCCGGUAGUCCACGCCGUAAACGAUGCGGACUAGGUGUGGGAGGUAUUGACCCCUUCCGUGCCGUAGCUAACGCGUUAAGUCCGCCGCCUGGGGACUACGGCCGCAAGGCUGAAACUCAAAGGAAUUGACGGGG
rnacentral:rRNA from 1 species